UUCUCUCUUGCUGACCAGCCUUCUGGCCUGUCGGUCCAUCACUGAGGUUCUGGUUCUGGUUUUCUUCCAGCUGUAGUAAUACUUAACCAAGCUGGAGAUCAGCUUGUCUGGCAGCUAAGCAGAAAUACAUACAAUUGACAGUCUCUUGCCAUGAAAACUGAAGGCCUGUUCGAACAGCACCUUAUCCUCCACUGUCCACUCGUCUGGGAAGGGGGUGAAGUUGGCGAGGUCGGCCAGGGAGCGCUCCACAUCGUGCUUGUGCCACAACAACAUGCCUAGAGCCUAAUGGAAUGGUGGGGGCAAUGUAACAAGUCAGGAGAGUGACCGAAAGACUGAAAGAGUCUCUGGUCAGGCUCAAUCUUCAAUCUGCAGGGACGAGUCAGAGAUGAGACUUGAUGAAAUCAGAGAAAAGCUGAUCAGAGAGAGUGUGGUUGGCUGUUGCCGUUAGUUACUGUCUUGGCUCUGCUCCUGGACAGGACCCCGGCCCCCGAGCGCUCCAUCACUGAGGGCAUGUCUACAAACAGGAAAAGUACACCUGCAGUAUACAUUUUCAUUGCUUCUCCUUCCAUUCAGCAGCAGACAGCACUACUGUACUUAAUCACUCACAAAAAUAACAGUUCUUGGGGUUUUUUUUCAAAUAGUUUAGUUUGCUUAGACUUUGUAGCUCCACAGAUAUCAUUUUACAGUUGACAUGCAAACAUAUUUUUCACCAGCAUUAAUAAGCAGUUCCUGUCUUGCAGUUAAGGUUCAAUGGACCUGAAGAGCCAUCGGGGUAGGGAAUUACCUUUUUAACAGUGUUCUCAACCAUGUUAAAGGUGCAAUUAAAGUUAUAUGGCUAACUGUGCCAGUUUUGCACCAAUAAUUAUUAUGUGGUUUUCUAAGUUAACUUUAUUUUUAUGAACUAUAUUAUAAAUGCAUGUGUGUUCAAUGUUUGUCAACUGUUUUCCCCUUAGUCAUAACUAUAAAAAAAUGAGUUUAGUAUAUUGUUUUUGUGUCUUAUAAGAAACUCAUGUUGCAACUUAAGACAUUUUGAGCAUAUUAAGAGGUAAAGAGCAUGGGCUAACACUUUGCCUUAAUGAGCUAGCCUUGAAACAGCUAGCUUCAUUUCACUGCAAUCAGAAAGGUUGGGGAAAAAACAUAGCUGCCCUUGUCAUAUUUUCCAGUUUUAUACAUGCACCCAUCGUAAACCAACAAACAGACAAGACUCCUGGCUUAUAGUCCUGCACAAAAAGUGUUGAUUAACCAGUAGCAUUUUUCAACAUCACAUUUACACCACUUCCUGUGUCUUAUGUUGGGAACUGGAGCAGUGGUGCAAAAGCAAUGCUCAAUAAAGAAUAGCCAUAUCCCAAACUA